GACGAACGCUGGCGGCGUGCCUAAUACAUGCAAGUCGAACGGAAAGGCCCGGCUUUUGUGGGGUGGACGAGUGGCGAACGGGUGAGUAACACGUGAGUAACCUGCCCUGGACUGUGGGAUAACUUUUGGAAACUGGGGCUAAUACCGGAUAGGAGCUCCUGUUGCAUGGUGGGGGAUGGAAAGUUUCGGUGGUUUGGGUUGGAGUCGCGGCUUAUCAGCUUGUUGGUGGGGUAGGGGUUGACCAAGGCUAUGACGGGUAGCCGACCUGGGAGGGCGACCGGGCACAUUGGGCCUGCGAUAGGGCCCAGACGGCUACGGUAGGCAGCGGUGGGAAAUAUUGCGCAAUAGGCCGGAGCCUGAUACAGCAACUCCGCGUUCGUAAUGACGGCCUUCGGGUUAUAAACCGCUUUCGCCUGUAACGUAGCCUGAGUGACGGUAACUGAUAAGAAAGCAACGGCUAACUACGUG
rnacentral:rRNA from 1 species